UCAGGUAGUAUCUUUAUAGCAGUGUGAGAACAGACUAAUACAAUGUGCAGGGCUGAAGCAGCUCAAUAAAUAGUUGAUGGAUGGACGGAUGGAUGGAUGGAUGAAUGAAUGAAUGAAUUCACUAAUUACUGAUUCACUUGUUGAGUGUGGUAGAGCAUCAGAUCACAGACCUUAGAUCCUGGCUUCCAAGGCUUGAAUCUGUGAUGGGCUGGCUCCAUAAUUUUAAGUGAUUUAUGUAAUGGUCCCAUACCUCAGUUUCCUCAUCUGUAAAAUAAAGGCCAAUGAUUUCUGUUCUUAUCAGUACGGCCAGUUAAGAACCUAUACAAACCCUCCCACUAACAGCGGCUAGAAAUUCUGGAUAGAAUAAAAAAUGCCUGUCUUGUUCAUUAUUGUCUUGAGCUGACUAGGAAGUGUGGAGUACUCAGGCCAGGAUGGAGAAGAGAUGGGACCCAUAGAGGAAGGUGGAUACUGAAGCUGGCUUUGCUGGGACAUAUGGAAAGAAGUGGCCACCGCUCCAUCUCUGAAACAAAAAGCGGAACUUAUUGUUUGUUAAGCAAGGGAGAUCUAAACCUGCAAACCUGAGCCUCGUUUUUUGACUACCUUUGUGGCUAGAGGUCAGAAGACAAAGCACAGAGCCUGACCAUGCAGGAGAGUCUAGCAGAAGACCCUUCCUUCAAUGUGGGACACCAUGAGCUAUACCUCACUGUCAUGGAAAACAAAAAGAUCGAUUUCCCCAUUGGAUACUACAUCAACACUGCCUGUAGCGAACUUUGGUGCCAAGUGGAAGAGGAAAAGCAUUCUCUAAGAAUUAAUAGCUAUAACCUGACCUUCAUGUGUGUAUGUAGCCUGAAUCCAUAUUUCCUCAAUUAUCCAAAAUAAAGGAUUUUAGUUUAAAGGAG